rnacentral:pre_miRNA from 1 species
CGGCGUUAAAAGUUUGACUUUUCGUCAAAAGGUCUAUACAUAAACAAUGGACCUUUUGACGAAAAGUCAAACUCUUAAUCG